GAUUCUGCCUAUCGGUCCGUCUUUUAGACGAGCACUGGUAGUGUAGGGUCUAUCUGCCUGAUGAUACGUAAUGUCCUUUAUUGGGUGUUGCGGGUAGUCAGGACCUUUACCUUGAAAAAAUUAGAGUGUUUAAAGCAGGCUUAUGCCGGAAUACAUUAGCAUGGAAUAACAUCAUAGGACGAUGUUGUUUUAUCUUGUUGGUUUCUAGGACAACCGUA
rnacentral:rRNA from 1 species